UACGUAGGGUGCGAGCGUUGUCCGGAAUUACUGGGCGUAAAGAGCUCGUAGGUGGUUUAUCGCGUUGUUCGUGAAAUCUCACGGCUUAACUGUGAGCGUGCGGGCGAUACGGGCAGACUGGAGUACUGCAGGGGAGACUGGAAUUCCUGGUGUAGCGGUGGAAUGCGCAGAUAUCAGGAGGAACACCGGUGGCGAAGGCGGGUCUCUGGGCAGUAACUGACGCUGAGGAGCGAAAGCGUGGGGAGCGAACAGG
rnacentral:rRNA from 1 species